CGUGAAUAAUAAUAUCCUGCAUUUUCUUGUAAAAUAUCCAUCUUCUUUUCUGAUUAAUUAUGAUGAUCAAAACAAUGAUAAGUUGAACAAAUACUUAUCUGAAAAUGAUAAGGAAAUUACAAUAAUACAGCUAAACUUGAAGUUAGAAUUACGUUGGCAUCAAAUAAAGACUCAGCUGUACCAAUAUCGACAUCUUAUAAAAGAUUCUGGCGAUAUUUUUAAAGAAAAAUUGGAUGGUUAAUAAAUCUAAUCAGAUAAAAGAUAGCGAAAUAGCAAAGUAUGAGAUAGAACAUGCUGGGUAUUCGGCACAUGUGAAAAAUAAUAUAGAAUACAGUAUAUUGAAUGAGUGUCAAAUAAUCGUUGCAACAGAAGUAACAAAAUGAUAUCAACUGAAUAAUGCAAAAGAUAGAGAAUGAACUACGGCUUUGACAAACGGCAAUAUACAAAAAAAUUCGAAGAGAAUAGAAAAGAGCAAUCAUAGUUAUAAUCAUAGUAGCGCAGUAGUAAAAGUGAAUCCCUAACAAUUUUUUAAGAUAGUUUAAA